rnacentral:rRNA from 1 species
GACGAACGCUGGCGGCGUGCCUAAUACAUGCAAGUCGAGCGGAUUUUCGGAAGCUUGCUUCCGAAAAUUAGCGGCGGACGGGUGAGUAACACGUGGGCAACCUGCCUGUAAGACUGGGAUAACUUCGGGAAACCGGAGCUAAUACCGGAUACAUUCUUCCCUCGCAUGAGGGAAGAUGGAAAGACGGUUUUGCUGUCACUUACAGAUGGGCCCGCGGCGCAUUAGCUAGUUGGUGGGGUAAUGGCCCACCAAGGCGACGAUGCGUAGCCGACCUGAGAGGGUGAUCGGCCACACUGGGACUGAGACACGGCCCAGACUCCUACGGGAGGCAGCAGUAGGGAAUCUUCCGCAAUGGACGAAAGUCUGACGGAGCAACGCCGCGUGAGCGAAGAAGGCCUUCGGGUCGUAAAGCUCUGUUGUCAGGGAAGAACAAGUACCAUAGUAACUGAUGGUACCUUGACGGUACCUGACCAGAAAGCCACGGCUAACUACGUGCCAGCAGCCGCCGUAACAC